CCUACGGGAGGCAGCAGUAGGGAAUUUUGCGCAAUGGGCGAAAGCCUGACGCAGCAACGCCGCGUGAUUGAUUAAGCCCUUCGGGGAGUAAAGAUCUGUCAGCGGGGACGAAACUUGACGGUACUCACAGAGGAAGCACCGGCUAACUCCGUGCCACCAGCCGCGGUAAUACGGAGGGUGCAAGCGUUGUCCGGAUUCAUUGGGGGUAAAGGGAUCGUAGGUGGCAUAUUAAGUCUGGUGUUAAAUGCCGAAGCCCAACUUCUGUCCGGCAUUGGAUACUGGUAAGCUUGAAUGCGGGAGAGGUAAAGGGAAUUCCUGGUGUAGCGGUGAAAUGCGUAGAUAUCAGGAGGAACAUCAGUGGCGUAAGCGCUUUACUGGGCCGUAAUUGACACUGAGGAACGAAAGCCGGGGUAGCAAAUGGGAUUAGAUACCCCAGUAGUC
rnacentral:rRNA from 1 species